rnacentral:rRNA from 1 species
UCCUGCCAGUAGUCAUAUGCUUGUCUUAAAGAUUAAGCCAUGCAUGUCUAAGUAUAAGCACUUGUACUGUGAAACUGCGAAUGGCUCAUUAUAUCAGUUAUAAUUUAUUUGAUGGUCAUUUACUUGGAUAACCGUGGUAAAUCUAGAGCUAAUACAUGCAUAAAAUCCUGACUGGGAACGGAAAGGAUGUAUUUAUUAGAUACAAAAACCAAUGCACUAAGUUCUCUCGGGAGCUUGGUGGAAAACAUGGUGAUUCAUGAUAACUUUACGAAUCGUAUGGUCUUGUACCGACGAUAGUUCAUUCAAAUUUCUGCCCUAUCAACUUUCGAUGGUAGUAUAGAGGACUACCAUGGUGGUAACGGGUAACGGAGAAUCAGGGUUUGAUUCCGGAGAAGGAGCCUGAGAAACGGCUACUACUUCCAAGGAAGGCAGCAGGCGCGCAAAUUACCCAAUCCCGACACGGGGAGGUAGUGACAAAAAAUAACAAUACCGGUCUUAUAUAAGUCUGGUAAUUGGAAUGAGUACAAUCUAAACCCCUUAACGAGUAUCAAUUGGAGGGCAAGUCUGGUGCCAGCAGCCGCGGUAAUUCCAGCUCCAAUAGCAUAUAUUAAAGUUGUUGCAGUUAAAAAGCUCGUAGUUGGAUUUUAGAGUUUAUUCAGUAGAGUCCGCUUGAAAAGAGUGUGUAUUUUAUUGGUAGCUCUCCUUACUAGAUAUUCACGAUCAUUCUUAACUGAGUGGUUGGUCUAUUCGAAAGAGUAGGUGCUUGGUGGGUCUGGGGGUUAGGAUGUGGUUUUUUUACGGGGCAACCUGUGGAGAAAUCUGCUUAGUUCACUUCCAUUAAGUAGAAUUCUAGUUCAUUUACUUUGAGUAAAUUAGAGUGUUCAAAGCAAACGUACAAAUUUUGUAAUGAAUACUAUUAGCAUGGGAUAAUGGAACAGGACGUUGGUUCUAUUUUAUUGGUUUCUAGAACUAAUGUAAUGAUUAAAAGGGAUAGUUGGGGGCAUUAGUAUUUAAUUGUCAGAGGUGAAAUUCUUGGAUUUAUGAAAGACUAACUUCUGCGAAAGCAUUUGUCAAGGAUGUUUUCAUUAAUCAAGAACGAAAGUUAGGGGAUCGAAGACGAUCAGAUACCGUCGUAGUCUUAACCAUAAACUAUGCCGACCAGGGAUUGGAAGACGUUAAUUUAAAAAAUAGGACUCCUCCAGCACCUUACGAGAAAUCACAAGUUUUUGGGUUCUGGGGGGAGUAUGGUCGCAAGGCUGAAACUUAAAGGAAUUGACGGAAGGGCACCACCAGGAGUGGAGCCUGCG